rnacentral:rRNA from 1 species
UGCGGAAGGAUCAUUAUCCUUUUAUCGGGGAGCUUGCUGCCGGCGCGUUUGGGCUCUUCGCUCAGCGCAUUGGCUUCAACUCUUUCUGAUUCUACCCAUGUUUUUUGCGUACUACUUGUUUCCUUGGUGGGCUUGCCUGCCGAUAGGACAAACCAACAACCUUUUGUAAUUGCAGUCAGCGUCAGUAACAAUGUAAUAAAUUACAACUUUCAACAACGGAUCUCUUGGUUCUGGCAUCGAUGAAGAACGCAGCGAAAUGCGAUAAGUAGUGUGAAUUGCAGAAUUCAGUGAAUCAUCGAAUCUUUGAACGCACAUUGCGCCCCUUGGUAUUCCAUGGGGCAUGCCUGUUCGAGCGUCAUUUGUACCCUCAAGCUCUGCUUGGUGUUGGGCGCCUGUCUUUCCUUUGGGGAGACUCGCCUUAAAACAAUUGGCAGCCGGCAUAGGAGCCUGGAGCGCAGCACAAUUUGCGCCUCUUGCUUUGAUUGUUGGCACCCAUCAAGACCUUUUUAUCAGCUCUUGACCUCGGAUCAGGUAGGGAUACCCGCUGAACUUAAGCAUAUCA